AGUGAACGCUGGCGGUAGGCCUAACACAUGCAAGUCGAACGGCAGCACAGUAAGAGCUUGCUCUUACGGGUGGCGAGUGGCGGACGGGUGAGGAAUACAUCGGAAUCUACUUUUUCGUGGGGGAUAACGUAGGGAAACUUACGCUAAUACCGCAUACGACCUACGGGUGAAAGCAGGGGAUCUUCGGACCUUGCGCGAUUGAAUGAGCCGAUGUCGGAUUAGCUAGUUGGCGGGGUAAAGGCCCACCAAGGCGACGAUCCGUAGCUGGUCUGAGAGGAUGAUCAGCCACACUGGAACUGAGACACGGUCCAGACUCCUACGGGAGGCAGCAGUGGGGAAUAUUGGACAAUGGGCGCAAGCCUGAUCCAGCCAUACCGCGUGGGUGAAGAAGGCCUUCGGGUUGUAAAGCCCUUUUGUUGGGAAAGAAAAGCAGCAGGUUAAUACCCCGUUGUUCUGACGGUACCCAAAGAAUAAGCACCGGCUAACUUCGCG
rnacentral:rRNA from 1 species